GCAAAUCUAGUGAUUGCGCUCACAGGAACAAUGGAAGCACUGUGGAAGUUUUUCUCGCUGGGAGAAGGCGCUGGGCAUUCGAAUGUCCUCAUGUAAUGUAUACCACAUGAACUGCACAUCGAUCGUUAAUGAAAAUCUCCACAUAUAUCCUUACAGAAAUGCUUUAUUUAAGAAAUACUAAGAGUAGUGUACAGCCAAGUGAGUUACCCAGUUACUACUCAAGGAAGGGCAAGCAAAGUAAUUUAUUUAUAGUUGUGCCAAUUAGUCAUGAUACAUAUUACGUGAUAUUUGGUUCACAGAGUUGUCUUCAUGUGAUUAUUAUAAGGACUAUCUAUAGUUGUGGAAGGGGGCUGGAAAACGUUGUGUAUAGUUAGCUGGUAUCUCUACAAGUUUGAGAGUUUCCCCAUUAAAUGUUAUCAGUAUACAGAGGUUUUAAUUUAAAAAAAAAAACAAGUAAGGGUAAUUAUUUGUAUUUGAAAAACAAACUCCAAAUACAACCCAUCUAGAAAUAGAUAUUAUAUAUGUGCUAUAAAUAUAUCUAUAUAGUACAAAUAGACAUGUGUGAUGCAUAUAUACCAUGUUAUAUAUGUAUAUCUGUGUGUACACUCUGAUUCUGUAAUAUGUGCACAACUAGAUGUGUGUGAUAUUGACAUCUUCAGGGUCUGCACUGUGGACUUCCCUGGAGAUCGUGACCACUUUAAAAACAGAAGUUCUUUUGAAACUUCACUUACUACUCUGCUUUAAGAAAGACCCACUUCGUAGCUGAAUUAUAUGUUCUUUCCUAGAGAAAUAGUCAGCAACUAGUCUGUUCAAGCCUUUCAAAACAAAAGUAAAGGGAAAAAAAUUACCUUCAAGCUGGCGAUGUAUUUAAAUUGCGGUUUUCUGACUGUGGGUCUAGGCUGUGUGUUUCUCCUUUAUGUAGCGCCUUUUACAGAAUACUGUUUUGUUUGUGUUGGUGAAAGCACAAGAGUUUUAGAUGUACAUAGCCAGGAGAAGAAAAGCAAAACAGAGUUUACAGAUCGCUUUGCUGCAUAGGAUAAUUGCUGUGUCUUUCUUCUACCAUCCGUAGAAAGGAAGGAUGAAGCUCACUCUGUAGGUUCUUUCUGGUCAACAAUGUCUUCUGUUGUUUGUGCAUAGCAAUGAGCUAUUCCUGCUUUAUCAUUUGUACAAUUGUAAAAUAAAUUAAAUUCCUUGUUUUUCAA
rnacentral:lncRNA from 1 species